GAACAAGGAGAAUCGUCCUUUCUAACUCAAUCAACAGACCAGGUACAGAGGAAAUUAGAGGGUAUAUGAAAGAGUUUAAGUACAUGAGGGUCAGAGGUGUUCCCUGUGAUGGCGAGAACUGAAUUGGUAGCAUGCAUCAAUAAUGCUAGCUAGAUACUUUUGUAAAUACCAAUAAUUCUAGCUUGUACUUUAGAGUCUUUGCUUUGAUGACGGUUGUGGAUUUGUGCAAAA
rnacentral:lncRNA from 1 species